CGGCGUGCUUAACACAUGCAAGUCGAACGGGGAUGUCUCGCCGAGGCGAGCUUGCUCAACUCAUGAGACAUCUUAAGUGGCGGACGGGUGAGUAACGCGUGGGUAACCUGCCAUAUACAGGGGGAUAACACUUAGAAAUAGGUGCUAAUACCGCAUAAGCGCACAGUGCCGCAUGGCACAGUGUGAAAAAUGAUCAGUGGUAUAUGAUGGACCCGCGUCUGAUUAGCUAGUUGGUGAGGUAACGGCUCACCAAGGCGACGAUCAGUAGCCGGCCUGAGAGGGUGAACGGCCACAUUGGGACUGAGACACGGCCCAAACUCCUACGGGAGGCAGCAGUGGGGAAUAUUGCACAAUGGGGGAAACCCUGAUGCAGCGACGCCGCGUGAGUGAAGAAGUAUUUCGGUAUGUAAAGCUCUAUCAGCAGGGAAGAAAUACAUGACAGUACCUGACUAAGAAGCCCCGGCUAACUACGUGCC
rnacentral:rRNA from 1 species